rnacentral:rRNA from 1 species
GACGAACGCUGGCGGCGUGCUUAACACAUGCAAGUCGAGCGGUAAGGCCCUUUCGGGGGUACACGAGCGGCGAACGGGUGAGUAACACGUGGGUGACCUGCCCUCAGCUCUGGGGAUAAGCCCGUAGGGAACGUGGGUACUAACGUACUGGAUAUGACUCCACGGUGCAUGUCGGUGGGGUGGAAAGCCUUGUGCGGCUAGGGAGUGGGCCCGGCCGGCC